AUUGAACGCUGGCGGCAGGCCUAACACAUGCCAGUCGAGCGGAGCGGCGGACGGGUGAGUAAUGCCUAGGAAUCUGCCUGGUAGUGGGGGGUACCGUCCGGAAACGGGCGCUAAUACCUCCUACUAUCAGAUAAGCCUAGGUCGGAUUAGCUAGUUGGUGGGGGAAAGGCCUACCAAGGCGACGCUCCGUAACUGGUCUGAGAGGAUGAUCAGUCACAGUGGAACGUAGACACGGUCCAGACGCCUACGUGAGUCAGCAGUGGGGAAUAUUGGACAAUGGGCGAAAGCCGGAUCCAGCCAUGCCGCGUGUGUGAAGAAGGUCUUCGGAUUGUAAAGCACUUUAAGUUGGGAGGCGUUACCAACAGAAUAAGCACCGGCUAACUUCGUGCCAGCAGCCGCGGUAAUAC
rnacentral:rRNA from 1 species